rnacentral:rRNA from 1 species
AUGUCUUUCAUGUCAGGAGCCAUGCGCAAUCUUCGGAGGCUCAAGCUACGUUUUAACACACAUAUUGGAGAGAAGUAUGAUAAUAUGCUUGCCGGAGUUGAGCACCUUAUAAAUCUCCAGGAUGUUGCUGGACAAAUUGGGGCUGCCACCGAAUCUGGCUGGAGGGCCUCUGAGUCAGCAUUCAAGGAAGCCAUUAGCAAGCAUCCAAGGUGUCCAAAUUUUAGUGUAAAAUGGGUGGAUCCGCUUGAGGAAGAAUAUCGUCAUUCAGAAAAACAGCAUCAGAGGCAAGAAAGAGGGUUAUUAGGUGAAAUACACGGGGUUCUAGAGAAAGCUGAAGACACAAACAAAUAUGAUGAUGACUGGUUGUCACAAAAUCCUGACCUGCCAUCUAGUGUCGCUUCAUGUCAUCCGAAGUCAGAAAAAACAGCUGAAGCUAGCAAACAUCAUGUCCUGGAGAGCAUGCUAUGUGAUGAAAGUGCUGAGCCGAAAGCUCUCGAUUUAUCACUCCUGGAAGACAUCACAAAUAAUUUCUCUGAUGACCAAGAGAUUGGUAGAAGCGAGUUUGGAGUACUUUACAAGGGAAAUCUUCAAAAUGGAAGUACUGUUGUUGUGAAGAAGCUUGCAAUUGCAACUGAUGACAAACUAUUUCUGGAUGGUGUCCACGGCCUAACGAGUGUUAAGCACAGCAACAUAGUAAGGUUUCUAGGUUACUGUGCUAACACACACGGGAAUGUGACUAAGGAAAGAGGCAAAAGUAUUUCUGUAAUGGUGCAAGAGAGGUUUAUGUGCUUCGAAUAUCUUUGUAAUGGAAAUCUUCAGAUGUAUCUUACUGAUGAAUCUUGUGGAUUUGACUGGCACACGCGUUAUCGAAUAAUUAAAGAAAUUUGUCAGGGUUUGCAUUAUCUACAUGAUAAACGCAUUGCUCGUUUAGACCUCACACCAGGCAACAUACUAUUUGAUGAGAAAAUGGUACCAAAAAUAGUGGACUUUGGUUAUUCAAAAUUCUGGGGUGAAGACAUAAGUCGAACUGGCCUUAGAUCGCUGGCUUACAUGGCUACGCCAGAAUACUUGGACGGGGGAGCAAUCACAUACAAGUCUGACAUAUACAGUUUGGGGGUUGUCAUUAUGCAGAUAGUGACUGGACGGAAUAAAAAGGAUUGCUCAAACACAGCUGGUGUACUUGAAAAUUGGAGAAAUAGGUUGAAAUUGGAUAUGUCACCAGGACACAGAUCACUGGAAACAUGUUACCAGCAAGUAAAAGUAUGCGUCGAGAUAGGGAUGAGCUGCAUGGACCAUAACCCAGGGAACAGAUCCACUACACAGCACAUCAUCCAUAUGUUUGAUAAAACUGAAGUUACUGAGCAGUCAAUUAGAAGUGACGUAGGUAGUUCAUAUCUACAGCAGAUGAUUGCUCGUUCUAAAGAAAUAUUCAGACUGGUAGUUGCAGAAUAA